UUAUGUAAUUCUGUGUACACUUGUGGGCAGAAUUUGCCUCCUAUUAAGAAGGUACCCAAUAGUGAAACUUUAUCUGCAUUAUCACUCAAACUAUUCCAUGAAAACGAUUGAUUUGUCAUGGUACGCAUUAAAAGCAUCCUUAUAUGUGAUUUAUUUAUACACUUUACCCCAUUUUAGAGCCCUUCAGCUUUUCCUAUUAAUAGGAUUGUCAUUUUAUAUAUAUGGAUGGAUUCUUGGUAUAGUUUGGCUUUGAGCCAUAACGUUAUCUAUCCUUUUAACUCUUUGGAAACGUUCACUUAUCUUCAGCGCAUUAGUGCAGGUUCAAUUUUGUUUCAAGUUCGAGAUGACAAAGGUCACUUCAUUAGGGCCCUCAAUUGCCUCACUUGCCUGCAGUCCUCAAGUAUCUUAUACAAAGGACCAUAAAAAGAUGUUCUGCUUCCAUUACCAAAAAGUGAGAAGGGAAGAGAAAGCCAAUUAUUUGCAGCCCAUAAAAUCCUUAUGAUAAUUUGGAAGACUUUAAUUAAACUAAUACAUCAUCCUACACUUAUAAAGACAAAGGAGGAAAAAAGGGAGGAACAUAAUCUUUUUUUUUUUUCAUCUGUUGAGAAACACCAUAUUGCUUUGUGAUUAAGUGCUUUAAGCAUUGUGACCUAUUUUAAAAUCUAAGAUUUGCAGUCCUUUUCAUAUAAUAUUAAAUAUAUUAAAAAAUUGAUGCAAUAUUGAUUAGAACAAUGCCCUCCACCAAAGCUUGGGAUGAAGCUAUAUUAAAGCUUGGUUUAAAAGCAAUUUGUAUUAUUUUCUUAUGAUUUUUAAACUCUUCAAAAUAAAGAUCCUAAAAAAAAAGAUUUUUUUAAUCACAAAGAAUGUUGUUUUGUUAUUUUACUCUUAUUUUAUGUUUUGCUUAUAGCCUUAUGGAUAAGCCUACUGGUGUUAUUUACAUAAAAUCUACUUCUAAUGGUAAUAAAGUAUAGAUUGUUGAGUCUGGUAAGCCACAAAUCACAUUAAAAUGGGAUUAUAUUCAGUUUUCACCCACUAAACAGACCACAUAACCAGUGUGCCAAAUUUUAAUUUUUGAGCCUGCUUUCCUGUAAGCUCAAAACUGGCUGGGUAGAUUUCUUUUUCUUCUGAGAACCUAAGUGUUUUCUGAGCUAUGGUUGUGUUCUUUUCUGUUUACUUUGCUUAUUGCUGGUGCUUAGACUGGUGGUUGUUCAGGGCUCUCCACAUGUCUCACCAUUUUCCAGACUGGUGCAGCUUCUGUGGCAUUUGAGGAUAGUGUAGCUUCCUCUUACCAUCUUCUCAUGAGCACCUCCUCCCUUUUUUGUAGGCAUGUUAUUGCUGUCUUUAGCACACAAAGAGUAGCUAGUACUGCUGUUGUGUUCAAGGGUAGUCAGUCAAUAGCAUGGUCUAAAGAGAAUAAUAAUGGUAGUUGAAGCUUGUAUCAUUUAUCUUUGUAUUGUGAGCUUUAAGAGCAAAAACAUGAUAUUCCACUUUGGUCCUGGGUGAAUGAAACUGUAGAACUAAGAUACCUUCUAUACAUUUUUAGUUAUAUUGUGAAUAGAUAGAAGUAUUGGGACUGAUAUCUAUCACUCUUGGAUUCACAAAUUUUUUAUUAGAGAUGGUUACUUAAAAUUAAAAUUCUAAGAAAAAUGAACUAAAUGUGAAAGAAACCCUUCAAUAUGAAUAGUAAAACAGAAGAGAAAACUCCAACUCUAACAUUACCUUAGCUUUAUUUAAACAUAUAGCUUAGUUGCAUGCUUUAUCUCUAGAGUUAUUAGCAUGUUGUCUACAUACAAUGUUUAGAAGGAUGGGUUUGUUCCUCCUAUCACACUGCAUGCUAUUAUAUGUAGGUAUAUUUGAGCUAAGGAAAGGAAAACGGGAAGUGCCCAAGACAACCUUAAGAGGAAAUCGCCAGUGUACACAGAGAUGUCUCACUGCUUCUGACACUAUCUCUUCUUUAACAGUUGCCUUUCUCCAGUACAAUUCUUACCCUGUCCGUGGGCCCAUAGCCUAGACACAUUCUAAGUAGACCAGCCAAUAAACUCCUUUCUUGUCACCCUCAUGAGUCUUCCUCUGAUUAUUUGGCGCUCUCAGAAUCUUACCCUCUUGGGUUUCAUCUUUGUCUCCCCUCAGUGGCUAAGUCAUUUGUACUCAUGUUUUUAUGGGUUUCUUUAAAAGACU
rnacentral:lncRNA from 1 species